rnacentral:rRNA from 1 species
CUGGGAAUAUUCGGCAAUGGGCGAAAGCCUGACCGAGCGACGCCGCGUGAGGGAUGAAGUAUUUCGGUAUGUAAACCUCUUUUAUAUAGCCGUCGAGGCUAUAAGAAUAAGCACCUACAAACUACGUGCCAGCAGUCGCGGUAAUACGUAGGGUGCAAGCGUUAUCCGGAUUCACUGGGCGUAAAGAGUCGUGUAGGCGGUAUACCGCAUCGUACUUGAAAGCCCGAGGCUUAACCUCGGCGUUGGGUACGAGAUGGGUAAACUUGAGGAUGGUAGAGGAAAGGGGAACUCAUGGUGGAGCAGUGAAAUGCGUUGAGAUCAUGAGGAACACCAAAGGCGAAGGCACCUUUCUGGGCCAUUUCUGACGCUGAGACACGAAAGCUAGGGGAGCGAAGCAG